rnacentral:hammerhead_ribozyme from 1 species
AUCUAACUGACGAGUCCCAAAUAGGACGAAACACGCGUCAAACUGGAU